AUUGAACGCUGGCGGCAUGCCUUACACAUGCAAGUCGAACGGCAGCGGGGGAGAAGCUUGCUUUUCCUGCCGGCGAGUGGCGAACGGGUGAGUAAUACAUCGGAACGUGCCCUGUAGUGGGGGAUAACUAGUCGAAAGAUUAGCUAAUACCGCAUACGACCUGAGGGUGAAAGUGGGGGACCGCAAGGCCUCAUGCUAUAGGAGCGGCCGAUGUCUGAUUAGCUAGUUGGUGGGGUAAAGGCCUACCAAGGCGACGAUCAGUAGCUGGUCUGAGAGGACGAUCAGCCACACUGGGACUGAGACACGGCCCAGACUCCCACGGGAGGCAGCAGUGGGGAAUUUUGGACAAUGGGCGAAAGCCUGAUCCAGCAAUGCCGCGUGUGUGAAGAAGGCCUUCGGGUUGUAAAGCACUUUUGUCCGGAAAGAAAUGGCUCUGGUUAAUACCUGGGGUCGAUGACGGUACCGGAGGAAUAAGGACCGGCUAACUACGUGCCAGCCGCCGCGGUAA
rnacentral:rRNA from 1 species